rnacentral:rRNA from 7 species
UGUCGUCAGCUCGUGUUGUGAAAUGUUGGGUUAAGUCCCGCAACGAGCGCAACCCUUAUCCUUUGUUGCCAGCGAUUAGGUCGGGAACUCAAAGGAGACUGCCAGUGAUAAACUGGAGGAAGGUGGGGAUGACGUCAAGUCAUCAUGGCCCUUACGACCAGGGCUACACACGUGCUACAAUGGCGCAUACAAAGAGAAGCGACCUCGCGAGAGCAAGCGGACCUCAUAAAGUGCGUCGUAGUCCGGAUUGGAGUCUGCAACUCGACUCCAUGAAGUCGGAAUCGCUAGUAAUCGUGGAUCAGAAUGCCACGGUGAAUACGUUCCCGGGCCUUGUACACACCGCCCGUCACACCAUGGGAGUGGGUUGCAAAAGAAGUAGGUAGCUUAACCUUCGGGAGGGCGCUUACCACUUUGUGAUUCAUGACUGGGGUGAAGUCGUAACAAGGUAACCGUAGGGGAACCUGCGGUUGGAUCACCUCCUUA